UACGGGGGGGGCAAGCGUUGUUCGGAAUUACUGGGCGUAAAGGGCUCGUAGGUGGCCAACUAAGUCAGACGUGAAAUCCCUCGGCUUAACCGGGGAACUGCGUCUGAUACUGGGUGGCUUGAGUUUGGGAGAGGGAUGCGGAAUUCCAGGUGUAGCGGUGAAAUGCGUAGAUAUCCCCAAGAACACCAGUUGCGAAGGCGGCUGACUGGACACAUAUUGACGCUGAGGCUCGAAAGCAUGGGGAGCAAACAGG
rnacentral:rRNA from 1 species